GUCUUGUUCCGGUGUUGAUGUUCUGUGCGUUGUUGGACACAUGAAGCCACUUUCCUGAAACCAGGACUGACACAAGUCCACAGCGGCCCGCGGCGUGUAUGUCCGAGCCUGUCUCCAGCGCCUCCACCGGCAGGUUGUCAGCUGUGUGGUUUUGAUUAAAAGGGA